UUGCAUAUUGCGGAUACGGGUGCCAGGCCGCCGCGCCCUGAGCGGAGGCCGGCUUAAUAGGGAAGACCGGUGAGAAUCCGGCACGGACCCGCCACUGUGAGAAGCGCGCAAGCCCAAAUCGCCUUGCGCAAGCGAACGCCAUCCAUGUCACUGGGAAACCGGGAAGACGGCAUUCGUGCACUUCGAGUCAGGAGACCUGCCCGCUAUCCUUGCCAGAC
rnacentral:ncRNA from 2 species